rnacentral:sRNA from 1 species
UUGGCUCUUAGAUAAAGAGUUGUUAAUGUCACAUUUAGUGCAAGUUUCUUCUCAGAUAACUUUCGAUACCCUUCGUAUAGACCUGCGUCAACUUUCUCUUCAUAGAUCAUUCAAUAGCUUAUGCUAUCAGCCGCAUACUAAUUUAAUUAUAAAAACUCAGAGGUAUCUAUGUCUGAUAAAUUGACUGGUUCAGUAAAAUGGUUCGAUGAAACUAAAGGUUUUGGUUUCAUUACUCAAGACAAUGGCGGCAAAGACGUAUUUGUACACUUUAAAGCAAUUGUUUCUGAAGGUUUCCGCUCUCUGCAGGAAGGCCAGAAGGUAAGCUACCAGGUUGAGCAAGGCCAAAAAGGUCUGCAAGCCGUUCAAGUUGUUGCUCUGUAAGCAACCAACUAAUUAAAAAUGGUUUAGCUUAUUGUUUAGGCUAAACCAUU